rnacentral:misc_RNA from 1 species
UCGUACAAUAGAGGUGCUAAGGUUGUCGCUGACUUUUGAAAGGGUCGUGCACACCUCAGUACUCUCAUAUAUAAUCCAUCUCACCCCCUUUGUGCAUUACCGCGUGGGGACCCUUUUUGGCUAGUUCUGAGGGGGGUUUUCACAUAAAACUUUGAUAUAAUGUAGAAUGUCUUUAUUUGCGGUCACACGCAAUCAAUA